rnacentral:lncRNA from 1 species
UUUUUUUCUUUUUUAUUCUUUCAGUCACAGAUUCUCUUGUUCCAUGUCUGCUUUUUAGAGGGACUCCUAAAUGUAAGGAGGAGGGAAAGUUGAUUAGAGGGCGUACGUUCUGGUCACAAAGUGUGGGCCAGGAGAGGGGCUAGGGACCAGGCAGCACUGAGGGCAGCCCCUCUUCCUCUUUCCCUUCCUCUCCGCUCUUAGGGAGGACUGCCUUAGGAAGCACUGCCAGGGAUGAGGGUUAGGUUUAAAAAACAAACAAAAAGAAUUAUUGAGAUGAUUUCUUCCAUCCAGUGAACACCAUUACACUAACUUAGAGCAAGGUCGGAGGGAAUAAGGGACUUCUCCUUUCCCAGAAGCUCAGCAUGUGGCCCUUUCUACAGAAGAGAAGCCCACGACCCACCCCCCCCCCCGGCCAGGCACUCCGGGUCACUCUGUGAUGUAGGCAACAACGAGCCCAGCAUCAACAAAGGGACCACCUCUUGCUGCGGUGCCCAAGGUGGGACAGGCCCAGAGUUUAGAUGGAGUGGGACAUGGGUGAGGGUUGUGGGCUAUUCUUAAAUUUCUUGGAGGCUCCGUGUCUCCUGUCAUGUACUGUUAAAGCCUGACCAGAAAUGGACCCACUGGGUAUUGGUUCCAUGCUGCAUAGAACUUGGUCCAGUCUCUUGUUCUGUUAACACAAUGAACACUGGCUGCCCAUCUCUGUCCCCCAAAAGGACAGCCUAAGUUUUGGACUCUACACAGGGCCUCAUGGGUCUGGGCCCAAGUGUCAGUAGUUAGUUUGGGCUAGACUCUUUUGAUAUAGCUAAUGAAGACUGCAAAACAAAACUUAAGUAAAAAUGAUAAACAAUGGGUCCCAAGAUGCCAUAACCCAGUUUUACUAAAGACACCAACUAACAGAUUCAUAUGAAUUUGCCUUCCCCUCCUCCUCCCCUUGUAGAGCCAUGUGUUCUCUGAAAGUAUCAUUUAUGUCUCGGCGAUUCAGAUGUCCUACAAGAGACUUUAUCCUUAAAUGGUCUGGUGUUAAUAUUUCCUCACAGCACGUCUCUGUUCAGUUUUACUAAUUGUCAAGUGUUUUCAUUUUCUGCAAACUCUGAGUCCCAGAAUGCUGUUCUCUGGAACCCAGGGAGACCCAGAGCAAAGCUAGGGAAGACCAAAGGGAAGGGUGAUGCCCCUUUACUGGCCAAAUCCCACUGUGUCUUCAAUGACUUCUGACUUUCUCCAGGUGUUUUUAAGGCAGGGGGAAGGUGGGGGGGCAGUCUUCUCGCAAAUGAUGCCAGGGAGACAGAGAAUAGAAGUGAGCAAAUGAAAUAUAGAAGCCUACAGCCCACCACCCUCCACUUAGGUAACCUGCCCUGAAAGCUCACUCAGGGGGUGUGGACAAGGUCAAGACAGAUGGCCCUCUCCAGGGAGGGCCUGAACAGUGUGGCCCAAACAAAAGCCAUAACAUCUUCCAUCCUUUCUUUCCCCCAAAUCCAUGCAAUGCCUAAGGCUAUGCACCCCACCCCUGCCCUGCACCUCCUGCCAGGCCCUCCUCUCCUGUCUGGCAGUUGUCCUGCUCUCCCUGCCCAUUUCACCUUCUAGACCCUACUUUGCUCUAAGACUAUGAUUCUGCCAAACAGCCCACCUCACCUUUCUCUCAUCACUUCCAGUUCUCAGUGUCAAACCCCAGCUUCUGCGUGAGGCCCCCCAGGGCUGUACGGCACAGAGAACCCCUUCCUCUCCAGCCUGACACACAUCUCCUGCCUCCUUCCUACCCCUAACACAUGCACAGGAACACUUACAGCUUCCGAAACACCCUGUGUGCUCCCAUUUCUGGGCCUCACCCUGACCCACUCCUCCACCAUGAAUUCCCUCGUCCCCCUACAAUUGCACGAGACCCAGGCAUCUCCUGAAUGGGGCAGACCUCAUUCACCUUGGACUCCCACAGAGCAGGCACUUGAUAAACUUUCUAUGGAUCAUUAGAGAGUUGCUGACCUGGUUAGGGGAUGGAGUUCCCAUCAAGUUACUGCUUCAGCUGGGACAUUUCAGAAUGGCCACACCACACAGGGCAGCAGCGUGGUAAAGACCUGAAGCUGAGGGCUCAGCUGGCCCUGAAUCGAGCCCCAUCCCUGCCUCAGAGGAUGCCAGUCUUGUCCUGCGCAGAAUGUGAACCACAGCAGAAGCGCCACGUGGCCCUGGUGGGAAGGCUUGCAGGGGUAAUGACUGGAAAAUGUUUAUCACCAUGCCAGGCACAAUAAAAGUGCCCAAUAAAUACCAACCUAGAAAAAAAAUGCCUGGAUCCAUGAAGUUCUAGUUUUCUUUUUUUUUUUUUUUUUAGUUUAUUUAUUUAUUUGUUUAUUUAUUUAUUUAUUUAUGAGAGACACACAGAGAGAGGCAGAGAUAUAGGAAAAGGGAGAAGCAGACGCCCUGUGGGAAGCCCAACGUGAGACUUGAUCCUAGGACCCCAGGAUCACGCCCUUAGCCAAAGGCAGACGCUCAACCACUGAGCCACCCAAACUGUCCCUAGUUUUAUUUUAUUUUUCCUUCAUCUCUCACAAAUCACAAUCCAACUUGAGAAGUGCUUUCUCUUUUCAGUGAGAAGGGCCAAAUGCCCACUUCCUCGGUGAGACAAGGCCUGGGGGAGAGAAAGCUGUGCUGGGUCAGCAGGGCUGGAGGGUGGGCGGCCACCGUGUGGUGGGCCCCAAAAUCUGAGGGCCUGGAAAAACCAUGGUUUACCACAGAAACCAUGACAGGACCUUCAAAUUAACACCCAACCUUCCUUCCUCCCCCGGGGGCCUCCCAAGCCCCCUCAAAGGUAAGGACAGAGGCCACUGCUCCAGCAGCUAAGAAGCCCACUCUGUGGUUUGACUUUUCCUGUCCUCCCACUUGCCGCAGAGCCCCCGCAGCCUCUCACUGCUCCCUGGAGCUCCUGGCCUUGGCCUUAACUGGAGGCCAAAAUGUCUUCUGCUAACACUGCUCCCUUCACUCCUGGAUGCAGGAAUCUUUCUCAUAAUUUCUUUUAAGAAAAGAUGGCCCAUUUUUGGUUUGUUUGGGUUUUGUUUUGUUUUGUGAAAAAAAGGGCAGCAUCCUCUUCCCCUAACAACCACAUCUGUUAAGAAGCAAUUGCUAUUAUCCUAUUGGGAAGAGCUUCAAAAAGUGUUCUAAUAGCUAUAGACAGUUUAGUACAGGCCUUAAAACCACAUCUCUGCUGCACAGUGAUUCCUGCCCAGUUUCUAGCAUUAGAAUCCUACUCAUUUACCUUCCUCAUCUCUUCUGGAAAUCAGCUUCUCACACAGCUCUCUGC